CAUUAGCUAGUUGGUAGGGUAAUGGCCUACCAAGGCGACGAUGGUUAGCUGGUCUGAGAGGAUGAUCAGCCACACUGGAACUGAGACACGGUCCAGACUCCUACGGGAGGCAGCAGUGAGGAAUCUUGCGCAAUGGGGGCAACCCUGACGCAGCAACGCCGCGUGAGUGAGGAAGGUCUUCGGAUCGUAAAGCUCUGUCGGAUGGAAAGAACCGCAUAGGGGCAAACAGCCCCUGUGUCUGACGGUACCGUCAAAGGAAGCACCGGCUAACUCCGUGCCAGCAGCCGCGGUAAUACGGGGGGUGCAAGCGUUGUUCGGAAUUAUUGGGCGUAAAGAGCGUGUAGGCGGCCGGAUAUGUCAGAUGUGAAAGCCCUGGGCUUAACCCAGGAAGUGCAUUUGAAACUGUCCGGCUCGAGUAGGGGAGAGGGAAGUGGAAUUCCUGGUGUAGAGGUGAAAUUCGUAGAUAUCAGGAGGAACACCGGUGGCGAAGGCGACUUCCUGGCCCUAUACUGACGCUGAGACGCGAGAGCGUGGGUAGCAAACAGGAUUAGAUACCCUGGUAGUCCACGCCGUAAACGAUGUUCACUAGGUGUUGGGGGUAUUGACCCCCUCAGUGCCGGAGCUAACGCA
rnacentral:rRNA from 1 species